rnacentral:lncRNA from 1 species
ACAGUGAAUAACCAAAGAUGUAUACCCAUGUGUAAGAGGUAAGAGGUGCAUAUGGAGCCAGGCAACAACAUAUUGAAAGACUUCAGAGGUCAAAAUGAAAAAUAAGAUAUUAUGACAUAGAGCAAAAGAUCAGCCUUCCAUUGCAAAAGUGUUGAGGUGGUCAACAGUGAAGGAUAAUGACAAAAAUCUGAAGAAGAAUAAAUGGAUAGUGUAUAUUGAGAUUGGCAUAUGUCCUGUUCUCUGAAGUAUUAAGCAUUUUCAGUAGAGAAAGCCAUACUUGAAAUCAUCCUUAAAAUUGAUAUGCUAUCUGAAGAUCACUCAUUAAUAUGAUGCCACUAGGACCAGUUAAAGGUCCUUUCACAUAGAAUACAAGAGGGAGUGUCAUGUUCUCACAUGGAAUUCAGCCAGGUUUUUGGGAUUGUUUCUGAUAAGAAUAUGCUGAAAGGAGCAAGAAGUUUCACUUUGCAGGAAUCUCCUUAGACUGAAAUGUUCAGUAGCUCAACACCAUUGCCCAACAAAGUAGCUAACUGAGGCUAUGGUUAUGAUUUCAGGUAUCAUAUCCGAGGUCUGCUCAUUAGAAAUAAAAGAGGAAUGGACACCA